GGUUCCGUCGUCUAGUGGUCUAGGACGUCUGGUUCUCAUCCAGAAAAUCGCGGGUUCGACUCCCGCCGGAAUCACCA
rnacentral:tRNA from 3 species